UGCGGAUCUGCCAUUGGAUCACCGGCCACUCACUGCGGACAGUCAGCUUACCACCAGCACCAGCACCAGCCGCAGCCCUAGCCCUAGCCAAAGCACCUGCGCCGCCCCGAUACCCUUCAGGCCCAUGAACAGCCGGCUCGGUAGCCCUGCUGGUACUGGCACCGCCAGCUUGGGCUCUCGUCCUGUCUCCCCUGGACCCACUGCCAACUUAUUCCAGGCCCUCACCGGCGUGCCGCUUGAAAUGCGGAACGGCGACAUGUUACAGGCCGCACCGGCGCCUGCCGCGGUCUCCGUGCCUACAUCCCCGCAGCGUCGUCCGCUAGUCCAAGGCGCACAGAUAGGAAGGAGGCC
rnacentral:lncRNA from 1 species